UUUAAAUUCAGGUGGCUGUUUCUAGGUGCUUUGCUUAAAUUGGCUGAAUUCAAACUCGUUGCCACAGCUUCCAAACAAGACUGAUGUUUUGCCUGCCACCUGUAAGGUGGAUAUUGAUGCAUGUUUGACUUUCUGAAGAUGGACACCCAGGUUCCACAUUAUCUGGAACAUGUUGAGUCUGAAUCUGCUCAUUAUGUUCAUUGAACCAACUGCUGCUUAAGGAUUUUAGUUCCUAGAUAUUCUAGGGUAAACCAGAUCUCUGAAGAUCCAAUCAACAUACAUGCCAUGAGAGGGAUUUCGAUUGAAUGACCAUGUAAAGACUAGGUUUCAGAUGCAUCCUGUUGUGUUGGACUGAGUAUUGACCUUUGACAAGACACAGACAUUUAGUUUGUUAACACUGUUUGGGAGCCGGGCUGCAGUCUUGAAUUACAUUCCACUUUGGUCUCCCAGCGUACAUCACAAUGAAAUCCAAUGAUCAGCAAACAAGAGAAUGGAACAAUUGGAUAAGUGAGACUUGAAAAAGACUCAAUAAAAUGACAGUGUCAUGUUACACUUGUUAGUUAUGCCUAAACGAAGUCUGUUUCACUGGCUGCAUGCAAUUAUUACUCAUGAUCGCUAUUGUUAAAAUCUGAUAACCACAUUGCUUCAUAUCUUUCAUCUGUAUCGUUACAUUUCUUGAUAGGUCAUUGUUUUAAUCAUAUCCUGAUAGUAUGAUUUCAGCUCCAUUUCUUUAACAGCUAGCUGUUAUAAUUAGAAUCAUUAGAACUUUAAUGAUUUAACUUCCAAAUUCAGACUGUUGGGAGAUUUUAUUUUUUA